UUAGCCUACGGGAGGCAGCAGUGAGGAAUAUUGGUCAAUGGUCGGGAGACUGAACCAGCCAAGCCGCGUGAGGGAGGAAGGUACAGAGUAUCGUAAACCUCUUUUGUCAGGGAACAAAGGCGGGGACGUGUCCCCGGAUGAGUGUACCUGAAGAAAAAGCAUCGGCUAACUCCGUGCCAGCAGCCGCGGUAAUACGUAGGGGGCAAGCGUUAUCCGGAUUUACUGGGUGUAAAGGGAGCGGAGGUGGCAUGGCAAGCCAGAAGUGAAAACCCGGGGCUUAACCCCGCAGAUUGCUUUUGGAACUG
rnacentral:rRNA from 1 species